GUCAAGUUGACGAAUCCCAAAUAGGACGAAACACAUGUCCUGCAU
rnacentral:hammerhead_ribozyme from 1 species